GACAGAGGAUGCAAGCGUUAUCCGGAGUGAUUGGGCGUAAAGCGUCUGUAGGUGGCUUUUUAAGUCCGCCGUCAAAUCCCAGGGCUCAACCCUGGACAGGCGGUGGAAACUACCAAGCUGGAGUACGGUAGGGGCAGAGGGAAUUUCCGGUGGAGCGGUGAAAUGCGUAGAGAUCGGAAAGACCACCAAUGGCGAAGGCACUCUACUGGGCCAUUACUGACACUAAGAGACGAAAGCUAGGGGAGCAAAUGGG
rnacentral:rRNA from 1 species